AGUGAACGCUGGCGGUAGGCCUAACACAUGCAAGUCGAACGGCAGCACAGUAAGAGCUUGCUCUUACGGGUGGCGAGUGGCGGACGGGUGAGGAAUACAUCGGAAUCUACUUUUUGGUGGGGGAUAACGUAGGGAAACUUACGCUAAUACCGCAUACGACCUACGGGUGAAAGCAGGGGAUCUUCGGACCUUGCGCGAUUGAAUGAGCCGAUGUCGGAUUAGCUAGUUGGCGGGGUAAAGGCCCACCAAGGCGACGAUCCGUAGCUGGUCUGAGAGGAUGAUCAGCCACACUGGAACUGAGACACGGUCCAGACUCCUGCGGGAGGCAGCAGUGGGGAAUAUUGGACAAUGGGCGCAAGCCUGAUCCAGCCGUACCGCGUGGGUGAAGAAGGCCUUCGGGUUGUAAAGCCCUUUUGUUGGGAAAGAAAAGCAGCAGGUUAAUACCCCGCUGUUCUGACGGUACCCAAAGAAUAAGCACCGGCUAACUUCGUG
rnacentral:rRNA from 1 species